UAGCUCCGUGCAGCGCCCAGGGG
rnacentral:misc_RNA from 1 species